UCGCCCCAUAGUCUGGGAUACCACUUGGAAACAGGUGCUAAUACCGGAUAAGAAAGCAGAUCGCAUGAUCAGCUUUUAAAAGGCGGCGUAAGCUGUCGCUAUGGGAUGGCCCCGCGGUGCAUUAGCUAGUUGGUAAGGUAAAGGCUUACCAAGGCGAUGAUGCAUAGCCGANGUUGAGAGACUGAUCGGCCACAUUGGGACUGAGACACGGCCCAAACUCCUACGGGAGGCAGCAGCC
rnacentral:rRNA from 1 species